GACGAACGCUGGCGGCGUGCUUAACACAUGCAAGUCGAACGGAAAGGCCUCUUUCGGGGGGUACUCGAGUGGCGAACGGGUGAGUAACACGUGAGUAACCUGCCCUUGACUUUGGGAUAACUUCAGGAAACUGGGGCUAAUACCGGAUAGGAGCUCCUGCUGCAUGGUGGGGGUUGGAAAGUUUCGGCGGUUGGGGAUGGACUCGCGGCUUAUCAGCUUGUUGGUGGGGUAGUGGCUUACCAAGGCCUUGACGGGUAGCCGGCCUGAGAGGGUGACCGGCCACAUUGGGACUGAGGUACGGCCCAGACUCCUACGGUUGGCAGCAGUGGGGAAUAUUGCACAAUGAGUGGCAGCCUGGUGCAGCAACGCCUUGUGCGGUAUGACGGCCUUCGGGUUGUAGACCGCUUUCGCACGUGACGAUGCUUUGUGUGACGGUAGUGGGUAAAGAAGCACCGGCUAACUACGUG
rnacentral:rRNA from 1 species